UUGAACGCUGGCGGCAUGCCUUACACAUGCAAGUCGAACGGCAGCAUGAUCUAGCUUGCUAGAUUGAUGGCGAGUGGCGAACGGGUGAGUAAUACAUCGGAACGUGCCCUGUAGUGGGGGAUAACUAGUCGAAAGAUUAGCUAAUACCGCAUACGACCUGAGGGUGAAAGUGGGGGACCGCAAGGCCUCAUGCUAUAGGAGCGGCCGAUGUCUGAUUAGCUAGUUGGUGAGGUAAAGGCUCACCAAGGCGACGAUCAGUAGCUGGUCUGAGAGGACGAUCAGCCACACUGGGACUGAGACACGGCCCAGACUCCUACGGGAGGCAGCAGUGGGGAAUUUUGGACAAUGGGCGAAGGCCUGAUCCAGCAAUGCCGCGUGUGUGAAGAAGGCCUUCGGGUUGUAAAGCACUUUUGUCCGGAAAGAAAUGGCUCUGGUUAAUACCUGGGGUCGAUGACGGUACCGGAAGAAUAAGGACCGGCUAACUACGUG
rnacentral:rRNA from 1 species